UUGCUGUGGCAGCACAUAUGCUAAAAUUGGAACGAUACAGAAAAUAAUAACAUGGCCUCUGCAAAAGGAUGACACUCAAAUUCAUGAUGUUUUCCAUAUCUUU